AUCUCCCAGGAGGCAUCUACAGUAGCUUGGCAGCCAUGACAACCAGUCAUUAUCUUCCCCAAACACACAUAAUUGUUGACAGUUGGCUGAGCAGCGUGAAGCACUUGAACUAGACCCACCAACACAGUGACAAGAUAACUGAGCGGCAUCUUAGUUUGAGUUGAUUUCCCUUUAUGUUGUGACACAAUUCCAGAAUAGAAGACGUCUUUCUCAGCCAACAAGAAAAGUGCAGUGACUUGUUUAAUUCUUCUUAUGUGUGAACGUGGUGGAGUAAAUGUGACAGACUGGCAGCUGCAGACGUCAUCAGCGCGGAUGUGGCGGCUCGCUAAUUGGAGCACAGAAUCAAGAGGUCAGGCUCGAAGAGAUUACAGCGAAGGCAACAUGGGGAAUCCUGCAGGGAACACAUGUAGUCUACAUUUACUCACUGAUGCCGACACUGAAGGAAAACCACUCUGUUUCCAUGCUGUGCCUUAAAUACAGCAGUAAACACUGUUAUAUGGUGACUUUUACAUACACACAAAAAACGUCUCUUAAAGUGAAGGCCAGUUUUUAAACACACAAAAACAAAUAUAGGGGCUUAAAGCGUAUGUGCUCUUCCUCUCCAUACAAUAGAAAGCUUUUAACCUUUGACUGUUCCUCUGGCAGAAAACAUGACACAUAACAGGUCUGGGAACUUCCAGGGUUGGCCAGUUAUCGCUCAUCUCUGUUUGCAAUUAACCUUCUAUUUCUGGAAGCUUCAAAAAAGAAUGCAGCCACACAAACACGCUCAUGUGCGCACACACACACACACACACAACAGCAAUGCAGCUAUAGAAUAUGUCAUUGGAUGAGCCAACAAAUGUAUCACUUCCAGGAAAAUCCAGAACAGUCAAGUCUGCUGCUGUGUAAACUGUAAACGUCACACAACACCACUGCAACACACUCCUAUUCUCACUGUCAAUGAAUAUGUUGAAAAUGUUGAAAAUUGUCAGAAAGGACUCUCAAACGUCUUGUUUACUGUCACAGAAGAGCAAAGAAACCAGGAAAUAACCAGAGCUUGUUUUUACCUCAUAAAACCCCACUCAAAUCACCUCCCAAUCAGAAAUCCAUCAACAGUUUGUCUUGAUGAUCUAAAACACUCAAAAUUGUAGCAGGUGCAACAAAAACAAUAAUGAUAGUCAGAAAUGUGAUGCACAUUUUGCUCUUGUCUCACUUUAUCUUCUGAAUUGGGUCACACUAAUUUGUCCUAUGUAAAAAAUGUUGAGGAAACACUUGUUUCAUUGAAAACAAUCCUGAACCAUGUGUUUUCCAGGUAAACCUGUAGAUGUGGAUGACCCGACAGGUGAGGUGAGAGCUCAGAGUAAAGGCGGUCACAUGAUCUUUAAGUGGUCUUAAAGUAAUUGACUGUUCUAGGACGGAUCUGUUGAAGCUUGAACUGGACGUAACUGAAAUGACUCACUAUCUCACGUGGGAAAAACUACAAUCAUAUAAUUUGAUGUUUAGAUGGUGAAUUCGGCGUGUUCUAGUCUUACCUCCCUCGCUGUGUAUCUUCUUGGCUCUCCG